UCUGGGCAAGGUGUCACAUGCCUAUAAUCCCAGCUACUUGGGAGGCUGAGGCAGGAGGAUUGCAAAUUCAAGGCCAGCUUGGACAAUUUAGCAAGACCUUGUCUCAG
rnacentral:sRNA from 1 species